rnacentral:tRNA from 1 species
AUCUGUUUAGUAUAUAAGUAUUUUUGACUUCCAAUCAAAAGGUUUGGGUAAUCCAAAACAGAUA